UUAAUAAAGAGUUUGAUCCUGGCUCAGGACGAACGCUGGCGGCACGCUUAACACAUGCAAGUCGAACGGACUUUAGGUGCUUGCACCGAAGAGUUAGUGGCGGACGGGUGAGUAACACGUGAGCAACCUGCCUUUAAGAGGGGAAUAACGUUUGGAAACGAACGCUAAUACCGCAUAAUAUAUUUGUAUCGCAUGGUAUAAAUAUCAAAGAUUUAUCGCUUAAAGAUGGGCUCGCGUCUGAUUAGCUAGUUGGUGAGGUAACGGCCCACCAAGGCGACGAUCAGUAGCCGGACUGAGAGG
rnacentral:rRNA from 1 species